UACGUAGGGUGCUAGCGUUGUUCGGAAUCAUUGGGCGUAAAGCGCGCGUAGGCGGUUAGGUAAGUCGGGUGUGAAAUCCCUGGGCUCAACCGAGGAAGUGCAUCCGAAACUAAUUAGCUAGAGAAUGGUAGAGGAAGGUGGAAUUCCUAGUGUAGAGGUGAAAUGCGUAGAUAUUAGGAGGAAUACCGGUGGCGAAGGCGGCCUUCUGGACCAUUACUGACGCUGAGACGCGAAAGCGUGGGGAGCAAACAGG
rnacentral:rRNA from 1 species